rnacentral:rRNA from 1 species
GAUGAACGCUGGCGGCGUGCUUAACACAUGCAAGUCGAACGAGAAGUGAAGACGGAAACCUUCGGGCGGAAGGCUUUAUUUCGAGUGGCGGACGGGUGAGUAACGCGUGGGUAACCUGCCUCAUACAGGGGGAUAACAGUUGGAAACGACUGUUAAUACCGCAUAAGACCACAGCACCGCAUGGUGCGGGGGUAAAAACUCCGGUGGUAUGAGAUGGACCCGCGUUCGAUUAGCCAGAUGGCGGGGGAACGGCCCACCAAAGCGACGAUCGAUAGCCGAACUGAGAGGAUGACCGGCCACAUUGAGACUGAGACGCAGCCCAAACUCCUACGGGAGGCAGCAGUGGGGAAUAUUGCACAAUGGGGGAAACCCUGAUGCAGCGACGCCGCGUGAGUGAAGAAGUAUGGCGGUAUGAAAAGCUCUAUCAGCAGGGAAGAAAAUGACGGUACCUGAGGAAGAAGCCCCGGCUAACUACGUG